GCCAGAAGGCUUACAGUUUUCCCAAGGGGCAGAGGUAAAUCCCUCUAAGGCAAACCUAUUGCUGAGACCACCAUAUCUUUUAUUAAGCCUUUAAAAAAAUCAUAGUGGACUGGAAAGUUCCUCUAGGACUGAUCACAGCCCAGUGUCUCCAUUUUCAAUUCAGGAAAGACGCUCAUUUUACAAUUGAGAAAACUGAGGCCAUGCAGAUGAAAUGACCUGUCCAGUUAUCACACAGAUGAGAUCUAUUGUUAAACAUCUACCAACACAUAG
rnacentral:lncRNA from 1 species